UUUUAAAUUUUUUUACCGCGUGGUGAAGAAGCAAGGAAGAAAAAUGGAGGACAUUUUUUUAUCAAACUUAAUACCUUUAUUGGAAGCUCUGUUGGAAGGUAAUAUGCUUUAUUUAAUAUCAAUCCUUGUCGUAGAGUACUUAGAUUGCCAAUAUAGAUGGAAAUUUAGGACAUCGAGCCCGAAUUUAAUGCGAUAUUUCGGCAUAAAGUUUGUGCUUUUUCUUUGCUGCCUUUGCACGUGGUGCGUUUGUCGAACUUUAAACCGUGUUUUAAUUCAUAAUUAUUGUCGACCAAUUGAGUAAAAAGACUAAAUAACAUCUAGAAUUGUUUAAGUUGUCGAAAAAAGUUGUUAUUUCUGAGUUAUUGCCAAAAAUUUUUAUAUUUAUAAUGCCAUAUAUUAAAAAGAGAGGAGGCGCUUCAAUGGUGAGACGAAUAUUUCAAUUCAUCAGCUUGUACAUGCAUUUCAAUCUUACGACAAAAUAUUUCAACGUUAUAUAAUUAUGUUGUGUUUGUUCAACAUUACAACGUAUUUGAUUCUUGCUUGCAAAGCAAAGAUAAUUAAAAAUAUUUGUGUUUCUUUACCUCACUGUCACAGCUGGUUUGAAUUUUGAUAGGUGGGGCUUUUCGGUAAGCGGGCUAGUAAGAUUAAGGCCCCGUUGAGACCGGGACGAAGUCAAACUGGAAUGAAAAUUGAAAUUGUCAACAUGUUUACAUGAGACUGGAACGAAAAUUGCAAAAUUUUCAAUUUAUUCCCCUUGCCAGGCAAUUUUCUUUUUUAGAUGGUUUUUGUUAGCAUGUGUUGUUCCAAUGUCAAGGUUACAGCCGAGACCCGUCUGAAAUGUAUUUGUGUUUACAUUCAUCCCGGUCUGAAGUCAGUCGGCUCGAUCCAGCAGGUGGAAUGACUUGAGACCUGUCUGAGUUAUUUUUGUCCAGGUGUCAUGUAAACAUCUAUUAUAAAUAAUACUAUAACCGAAACGAAAUAGUCCCGGUUUGACUUUGUUCCGGUCUCAUGUAAAUGGGGUCUUUAGAAUUUAAAGUUCGUAGGCUGAGCAUGGUUUGAAAAGUAGCAGUGUAAAGCCUUUUUUCAACAUGGGCUGGGCUGGCUGGCAAGGAUUCAGAGAGUGCUAAACAAAUAGAAAGGACAGUAUUUGUUAAAUUUAAAAGCAUAUUAACUUGAUUUACUGGUACAGCAGAUGCCUGGAGUCAAAAUGAAGUUGAAAAAAAACUUCCAAUCAAAUUCUAUCAGUUGGCAUUGUCACAACAUAAUAUAAACAUUUCAAGAAGCAAUAACUGUGGUAAACAACCCAACAUCUAGAAAAAAAACAUUAGAGCAAAGAAAAUAUGAUUUUUUCAUCCCGCUAGCCAAGCUAUUCACACCCUCAGUAAAAUUCUCAUAAAUUUUUGUAGAUGUACAAUGCAAGUUCCAAGAAUGUCACAAGAUCUCAUGAUUAUCAAAAUUUAUUGUACACAUUCCAAGAUCCUGAAUAAGAGGUAAACUAGGUUACCCACAGGGCAGUAAUGCUUCCUUUGACAGCAAAAGACAAACUACAGGGUGUUGAACGAGUCCUUCAGAAACAUCCUAUUAUUGUUUAGCCUGCAUGGCAGGCGGUUCCUAAAAUUGGGCAAGCCUGGGAAAUACCGCCUGCCAUACGGGCUAAUUAUUGUUAUCCUUGUAACCCAUUUAUUGACAGUACCCUACCACUGACUGAGUAUUAAAAAUCGUGUGGCGUUGGACAGGGUAAAUACUAAAGUAGGGGUCAUUACUGUGCUGAUGAAUUAACAAGAGCCAUUGGCAGAUAGGUUUGUUAAUCCAUUUACUGGCAGUACCCUAUACCACUGACGAGUAAAAUCUUCUGGCGCUCAACAAGGGAAGGGUGCAUUGCCAGCUAAUGGGUUAAACCACCGUGGUUAAACAUAAAAUUUCAUGAUGCUCCAGGAAAUGUAAACAAGCUAUCAGUGUGACAUCCCAGUUUAUAUAUUUAUAUACUCGGAAUAUUGAUUUCUCGGUAUAUACAAAAUUAUUUUAAAGUAUAACAACCAGCGAAGACGUAAGGCACUAACUACCCUGCGCGGCUGCGCGCAGACUAUAUAACGACAUAUAUAUGUCAUCCGUCCGGUCCGUCCGUCAUUCAUCUGUCCGUCCAUAUCCGCGUUUUAUCCUAACCCGUUUUUAAAACACAAAGUUUGCAUUUAAUUAAGGCAGUGCGGUUCGUCAUGAUCAAUAUUUUCAAAAGUGGCCAAUUAGACGAGGGGUUAAAGGGCAAAGACAAUGACAUGCAGGUGACAUUUAACAUUGCGUCUCACUAAUUAAAAUUUGCGUGUUUAAUAGUGUUUAUCAAAGCACAGUUAAUUCCUAUUUCUAUUAACUGUGAUCAAAGAAAGCAAAAAUAUAUACAAGACAAUCUCACAUGUGGAGUUUUUUCACUUACAGUACGUACUGCCUUGUGAUGCAGUACAAGUAUAAAUACAAAUGACAAAGCAUUUGUAAAUCCUAAAACAUAAUUAAAUCAUACGGCACAUUUAAGAUUUUAAUAUCGUAUUUCAGCCGCGUUUAUACUGUUUGGUGCAUUCGCUGCGUUAUAUUAAUUUACAUGUAGGCUAUAUACACAGAAAAGCAUGUCAUUGUCCUUGCAGACCAUAGGCAAAAAGCAUUUGUCAACCAUGCACAUACCAAAUUUAAGCAAUCGUUAAAUCAUAUACAUGUCAUGGAAAGAAUAUGGAAAUAAUGUUGAAUGAAAGCUAGUAUCGCGUAUUAAUAUUAAAAGCACCGCAUAUAGUGCUCGAACCACUGCGUAUAAUUGCAAAAGCAUCGUGUAUAUAAAUGGUGAAAGCACCGCGUAUAAUACUGGAACCACCGCGUAUAAUGGCGAAAGCACCGUGUAUAAUGCCAAAAGCACCGGCGUAUAAUGCUAAAAGCACCCAACACAAUGCCGUUUGAUCACUUUAAGCCAGCUAUGGCUUUCCAUAAAAGAAGACCAAAGAUGAAACAUGAUCACAUUGCCUGUUUGCCAUAUUGCCUGACCGCGCUGCACCACGGUUAAAAUUCACUGGUACCGUCAUGCAAUGCACCAAAUAGAAAAUUUUGAUUUCGACCCACAAAACAAAAUUAGGAUCUGCUGCCUUGCUCGCUCGCUUCAGGCUCGCUCGCUGCGGCAGCAAUUAUUUUUCUUCUAAUUGUUUCUAACCUUCUCCUUGUAUUUUUUUGACAAUUUUCUUUGUAAUAUAUUAAUUUGUUUCAUGUUCUUAAUGGUGAGUUUUUUUAAUUUUCUAGAUGUGUGUUGCAAUUUCAAAGAAUGUCUCAAGUUGUUGGCCGAAGUGAUUUUGAUCUCAAAAGUGAAUGCUGUCAUUGGAAAGUAUAUAUAAAAGGUCUUAAUAUUUUCCUGUCUUAUCUUGCAUGAAAUGUUUUGAACAUUAUAUGAUUGCUUGUGAUCAAUAGUUUCAAAAAAUCCCAGUAGAAUAUUGCAAAAAUAGCAUGACCAUGUUACUUUUAUGACAAAAUAACAACAAAAAUAAUAAACACAAUCUUUACGCCUAAAUAUGGCGAGUGCUCAAUAAUUGCAUUUUUUUAUUCUAUUAGUAAUUUGGAAAAUUUCUUGUGACUUGUAUUAAUUUGGAAAAUUUCAGUUUUGUGGUCCCUCGAUUACUUGAUUAAUUUUCGUGUCACUGAUCACAAAAAUUAUAUAAUUUUCAAAGCAUAUAAACAUAUGGGCAAGCCAGAAAAUGACAAACUCUCUGUGUUUUAAAAAAAAUUGUUUAAUUAAACAGUGAUGAUUUUGAGUUUAUCUGUGUUCUAUCUGAGAACAUAGUUGUUUCUACAUAUUUUCGAAGUUUUUGUCAAAUGUAACAAAAAAUGAAAAGUUUGUCAGUAUUUGGCUUUGUUACAUCAGUUAAACAUUGAGAAGAUUGAUGUGGUUUUUAUUACAAACCACUUUGGUUUCUUACAAACAAAUAAGACAUGUGACUUAGUCAUCUUUCAUGUUUUGGUAUUAAUUUGGAAUAUGUUUUAAAGGAUUAAAAGAACAUUGAUGAACAUUUGUCUCAUCAUAAUUUGUGUUUUGAACUUGUCAAAGUGCAAUUGUAAAAACAGUAAGCUUGCAUCCCAUCUCAAUCUUCUCUUGUUUAAGUGGACUUUCAGUGUUUGUUGAAAGUUUGGAAAGUUUGUCUGAAAAUCACAAUCUUUCAUUCAAUGUUGAUUCUGGAGGUUUUCAAAUAUUGAAUCUUACAAAAAGCAAUUAGUGAUCAAUUGAAGUAUACAAUACUUUUAAAAUUAGCACUGUUAGAACUGCCUUGUUGUUUAAUAGUCCUGUCUUAUUUAUCCCAGCACACUCUUAAUACAUGAGUUUGAUUAUUCCUGGAUGCAAAUAAAAUGGAUUUGUUGAAGAACAAAGCAGUUUUAUACACUACUGACUUAUGGGAGGGUUGUGUUCUUCAGUUGUUUUUUUUUCUGAUUCUAGUGCCAACCACAUUGUGGUUUUAACAAAAUUUGAAUUUUGGAACAAACUUUGUGAUUUUUAAAAAACCUUUCCCAACUUUAAAAAACAAACAGUUAAGGUCGAAAUAAUUAGCUAGGAUAUGUUGUCUUUACUUAUAAUUACAAAGUGGAACUUAUUUGGAUAUGGGUGAACUGAAGCAGCAAACUAUACUUAAUUUUGGGGUAAUGUGAGAUGGAGAAAAUAACAUUAAAGUAAUCAGCAAUGGCGGAAAAACAAUCAGCAAUGAAAAGUAUAUAUUACAGUAAUUGUUUGGUAAAGCCAUCCAAUAAUUGGAAUAUUGAGGCUGAAGAUAAGAUUGACAAUUCUUGGUCCUACAUGUAUGUGUUAAUCAAUGCAUAAUUUGAUAAGAUUUGAAUGAAAAUUCAAGCAUGGAACUAGCCAUAUUUUUAGUAUUCAUCAAAAUUUGUGUGUGUUUCAUCAAACACAAGAUAUGCAAUAGCCAAUACUGAGAUGCUCU
rnacentral:lncRNA from 1 species